rnacentral:rRNA from 1 species
UUCGUGGAGUGAUCUGUCUGCUUAAUUGCGUAUCAAUAAUAGAGACCUAGUAUACGCGUAGACUCAUGCGGUAGUGACCCCCCUCCACAGGGCGCGUGUCGCACGUAUGUUAUACGCACAGGUCUCCGAUAGCAACGAACGUGACCGUACUCUAUUGUUGCAGCGACAAUACCUUUCAACGGGUAUUACUGCUGCUUAGCAAGAUUCGUCUUGCAUUAAACUAUAGAGACCGCUGUUUCUUCUUUAAACCAGAGGAAGGAUACGGCAAUAACAGGUCUGUGAUGCCCUCAGAUGUUCCGGGCUGCACACGUGCUACAAUGAUCAUUGCACUGUGCAUCUAACCCAAUGUGCGCGGACGCCGCCGUGCGUAUAUACUUUAUUGUGUAUGCGUAUCGUGCGUGCGACCGCGCCGAACCUGCUUCGAAAGUAAACAUUUCCAGCGGGUAAUCCAUUAGAAGUAAUGACUCGCAUAGACCAUGGCACACUAUAUGUACCCGCGGGUUCUACCCGGCUCGCCUUUGUGUGAGUGCAGUGCGUAGCUCGUUGUUUGGUACGUGCCACUCCGUAUUAAUUCAUACGUGGGGAUAGAUCAUUGUUUAAUUGUUGGUCUCGGUCUUAACUAGGAAUGCCUUGUACGGGUCUUUGGUUCAACAUACCACCCGGAAUACGUCCCUGCCCUUUGCACACACCGCCCGUCGCUCUUACCGAUGGAUUAUACUAUGAAUCUAUAGGACUGCCAAAGUUGCUCUUCGCGGCGCGCUUAGUGGAAAUAUAUAUGAAUAGUG